rnacentral:rRNA from 1 species
GAUCAUGGCUCAGAUUGAACGCUGGCGGCAUGCUUUACACAUGCAAGUCGAACGGUAACAGGCCGCAAGGUGCUGACGAGUGGCGAACGGGUGAGUAAUGCAUCGGAACGUGCCCAGUCGUGGGGGAUAACGCAGCGAAAGCUGCGCUAAUACCGCAUACGAUCUAUGGAUGAAAGCGGGGGACCGUAAGGCCUCGCGCGAUUGGAGCGGCCGAUGUCAGAUUAGGUAGUUGGUGGGGUAAAGGCCUACCAAGGCUACGAUCUGUAGUUGGUCUGAGAGGACGACCAGCCACACUGGGACUGAGACACGGCCCAGACUCCUACGGGAGGCAGCAGUGGGGAAUUUUGGACAAUGGGCGCAAGCCUGAUCCAGCAAUGCCGCGUGCAGGAAGAAGGCCUUCGGGUUGUAAAGCUCUUUCGGACGGAAAGAAAUCGCCCGGGUAAAUAAUCCGGGUGGAUGACGGUACCGUAAGAAGAAGCACCGGCUAACUACGUG